rnacentral:rRNA from 1 species
UACGUAGGCAGCAAGCGUUGUUCGGAGUUACUGGGCGUAAAGGGUGUGUAGGCGGGCCUUUAAGUCUGGGGUGAAAUCUCCGAGCUCAACUCGGAAACUGCCCUGGAUACUAUUGGUCUUGAAUUAUGUUGAGGUUGGCGGAAUAUAACAUGUAGCGGUGAAAUGCAUAGAUAUGUUAUAGAACACCGAUUGCGAAGGCAGCUAACUAAGCAUAUAUUGACGCUGAGGCACGAAAGCGUGGGGAUCAAACAGG